CAGGAACUUGAGAUUUGCCAUCAAUAAUCGUGUUGCUCAUUAAAGAUCAAACAGGUGCUUGAUUGUUCCCUUAUAUACCUUGAGGCAUCUCAGCAUGGAUUUUUUCAGUAGCCAAUGGAGGUGUGGUCAUGUUAUGGAUGAACUGGACUCUGAAGUUCCUCCUUGGGGUUGUGUUGAAAGCUUCACCAACAAGUCAGUGAUGUUCACAGUGAACACCACAAAACACUGCAUUAAAUUCAUCUGAAACAAGGAGAAAACACCCAUAAAGGAUGAGGACAACAAUGUAAACAAUAUUGUCUUUGACUACGGACCAAACUGGAUUCUUCUUAACAGGAACUUCUCAGGGAUUAACUUCAGGUGUAUGGAUCCAUAUCACGAGGUGUGUUAAUUAGUAACUCUUAAUUAAUCCUGAUUUACAUAAACCCUGCAAAUCACUCUUACACACUCUUUUAUUAAUGUUUUUAAACAGUUUACCACACUUCAGUGCACAGAUCAGUGCAAACCUGGAGAAGUCCCUGUACUGACCUCUCCAUUCAAUGUUUCUGUCUUCAUUGUGAUCAUCAUCAUAAUCAUCAUCAUCAUCACCAUCGUCAUCAUCAUCUGGAAGACACUCCAUCCACAUGUGUGCUUUUUCUAACCACGACCUUGCUUUAAAAUGAUCCCACUUUUGUGAUUAAUACAAACCUGGCAACCUGGAAUGUGAGCUAGCUUACUAGGAGUUAGCUAACUCGUGAAGAAGGAACAUUAGCUAAUGUUAUGGUGAAGAGAAUGAUGGAUUUUUUUUUUGUGUGAGUGCUUUAUAAUAAGGACCCUUAGAUGUAAUGCUGCCUGUGUUGCUACCUUCUGUCUGAAUGAGUCACUGUAUAAAAAUGUUCUACAUUCUGAAAUGUUUGUGAUGAUAAUAUAAUUAAAUAUUUUCACUGACACAUGAUUUGUAGAUAUACGUCUAGAUCUAUAUCUAUAUACUCUAUAACUUUUAAUAUUAUAUAUAAGCAGCUCUGUAUGCUAC